rnacentral:rRNA from 1 species
GAUGAACGCUGGCGGCGUGCUUAACACAUGCAAGUCGAACGGUGAAGGAGGAGCUUGCUCUUCUGGAUCAGUGGCGAACGGGUGAGUAACACGUGAGCAAUCUGCCCUUGACUCUGGGAUAACAGUUGGAAACAGCUGCUAAUACCGGAUACGAGACGUGACCGCAUGGUCAACGUCUGGAAAGAACUUCGGUCAAGGAUGAGCUCACGGCCUAUCAGCUAGUUGGUGAGGUAAUGGCUCACCAAGGCGACGACGGGUAGCCGGCCUGAGAGGGUGGACGGCCACACUGGAACUGAGACACGGUCCAGACUCCUACGGGAGGCAGCAGUGGGGAAUAUUGCACAAUGGGGGAAACCCUGAUGCAGCGACGCCGCGUGAGCGAAGAAGGCCUUCGGGUCGUAAAGCUCUGUCCUAAGGGAAGAAGAGGACGGUACCUUAGGAGGAAGCCCGGCGUAACUACGUGCCAGCAGCCGCGGUAAGAGUACGUCUA